AUGGGCGUCGAGGUCAAGGACCACUGCGACAUGGGCGUCAAGGUUAAGGAUCACUGCAGCGGCCUUUUGCUUUGCCGCGAGUCGAGCUACCGUGCACUGGCGUGCCCGCGCGAGUAUGUCGUCAACCCGGCCACCCGGCGGUGGGCGCGUUUGCCCAAACGCCCCCCGCCGCUCAUGAUAGGAUUCGACCACACCGCCCACCUCGCGUUUGAGCCCGCUGUGUCGCCGCACUACCAGGUCUUUCUGAUCCCACGCGUGCCAUGGCGACUGCCAUCCAACGGAGAAUCUGACGACGACGAUGACAACCCGUUGCUCGAAUUGGAGUGGCCUCCCGCGUCAUAUCUCGUUGAUGUGUUCUCGUCGGUGACUCAACGAUGGGAUACGACAACCUUCCUUCGGGAAGGGGAAGCUGCCGGGAUCAUCGCCGACAUGCAGUUGGAUUGGCGGUAUGAUCCAUCUCUCUAUCAUGCCGUAUACUGGCAAAGCGCACUCUACAUCCAUUGCCAACAUGGCUAUCUUACGAGAAUGUCCUUGUCAGAUCACUCGUACAGAGUAAUUAAACUACCAGGUGCCGGUGGAUUGAUAGUAUAUUCCAACCACCGUCUCGGGAGAUCAUCGCAAGGGGUGUAUUGUGCAAUACUUGAUGGCUCAAUACUUGAUGGUUCGAAACGACUUCAGGUUUGGUAUCUCAGUGAAUCGUGCGGUCGAAUAGAAUGGGUGUUAAAACAUGAUACCCGUCUUAAGACCGUCUAUGCUCAACAGCUGGGCAAACAAUGGAUCUUACAACAGGUUAACCUUCGUAAGGAGUACCCUGACUAUGACUGGAACUCAGAGGAUAACGUUCUUGACAUUGAAGACGUUGUUGAAGAGGCUGUAGAUGUCAUUGAAAAUGAAGAGCACAUAUCUUAUGGUUUCCUUGGAUUUCAUCCUUAUAAAGAGGACUUGGGCAGUUCAUGGACAUGUCAAGCGUAUGGAACACCAUAUGGAGAGACAUGCGUAUCUUUUCCAUACACGCCUUGCUGGGUAAGCGCGUUUCCUGGAAACGAAUUAGAAUCUCUUCUUUUAGACGAGAAGCUAUAUAGGAACAAGCUAGAACUGGAAGCUCAACUUGAGGAGGAAUCCUACUUCACCUACAUGGGCGAGUACGAGCUGCGCAAGCAGUCUGGGCGUGCCAAGAGGGUCAAGGACUCCGCCGCCAAGAUUCGUCGCAGACACCACAUUGCCGCUCGGCAGGAACCCAUCAUCACCGACAUGAAGUCGAAGGUGAAUCGCACCGGGGCGACCAAGUUCAGCCUUGGCAAGGCCACCACAGAACUAGUCACCGCCAUAGUUGGAUCCUAG
rnacentral:rRNA from 1 species